UACGUAGGGGGCAAGCGUUGUCCGGAAUCAUUGGGCGUAAAGCGCACGUAGGCGGCCUCGCAAGUCUGAUGUGAAAUCCCUCGGCUCAACCGAGGACGUGCAUCGGAAACUGCGGGGCUUGAGUACUGAAGAGGAUCGCGGAAUUCCCGGUGUAGAGGUGAAAUUCGUAGAUAUCGGGAGGAACACCAGUGGCGAAGGCGGCGAUCUGGGCAGAUACUGACGCUGAGGUGCGAAAGCGUGGGGAGCAAACAGG
rnacentral:rRNA from 1 species